AAUCACCUAUAGGAAUUGCUGUAUUCUCAAGAGCCUUCCUCACAAUAUAUGGACUUACAGGAAUUCCCUCAGCCUGCAAAGUUGCAUUACUCAAAAGU